UGGGGAAUAUUGCACAAUGGGCGCAAGCCUGAUGCAUCAACGCCGCGUGAGGGACGACGGCCUUCGGGUUGUAAACCUCUUUUAGCAGGGAAGCGGUACCUGCAGAAAAGCACCGGCUAACUACGUGCCAGCAGCCGCGGUAAUACGUAGGGUGCAAGCGUUGUCCGGAAUUAUUGGGCGUAAAGAGCUCGUAGGCGGUCUGUCGCGUCUGCUGUGAAACCCGAGGCUCAACCUCGGCCUGCAGUGGUACGGCAGACUAGAGUGCGGUAGGGAGAUUGGAAUUCCUGGUGUAGCGGUGGAAUGCGCAGAUAUCAGGAGGAACACCGAUGGCGAAGGCAGAUCUCUGGGCCGUAACUGACGCUGAGGAGCGAAAGGUGGGGAGCGAACAGGAUUAGAUACCCCGGUAGU
rnacentral:rRNA from 1 species